rnacentral:rRNA from 1 species
GAUGAACGCUGGCGGCGUGCCUAAUACAUGCAAGUCGAGCGAAUGGAUUAAGAGCUUGCUCUUAUGAAGUUAGCGGCGGACGGGUGAGUAACACGUGGGUAACCUGCCCAUAAGACUGGGAUAACUCCGGGAAACCGGGGCUAAUACCGGAUAACAUUUUGAACCGCAUGGUUCGAAAUUGAAAGGCGGCUUCGGCUGUCACUGAUGGAUGGACCCGCGUCGCAUUAGCUAGUUGGUGAGGUAACGGCUAACCAAGGCAACGAUGCGUAGCCGACCUGAGAGGGGGAUCGGACACACUGGGACUGAGACACGGCCCAGACUCCUAAGGGAGGCAGCAGUAGGGAAUCUUCCGCAAUGGACGAAAGUCUGACGGAGCAACGCCGCGUGAGUGAUGAAGGCUUUCGGGUCGUAGAACUCUGUUGUUAGGGAAGAACAAGUGCUAGUUGAAUAAGCUGGCACCUUGACGGUACCUAACCAGAAAGCCACGGCUAACUACGUGCCAGCAGCCGCGGUAA